CCUACGGGUGGCAGCAGUGGGGGAUAUUGCACAAUGGGGGAAACCCUGAUGCAGCGACGCCGCGUGAGUGAAGAAGUAUUUCGGUAUGUAAAGCUCUAUCAGCAGGGAAGAAAAUGACAGUACCUGACCAAGAAGCCCCGGCUAACUACGUGCCAGCAGCCGCGGUAAUACGUAGGGGGCAAGCGUUAUCCGGUUUUACUGGGUGUAAAGGGAGCGUAGACGGUUAUGUAAGUCUGGAGUGAAAGCCCGGGGCUUAACCCCGGGACUGCUUUGGAAACUGUGCAGCGAGAGUGCAGGAGAGGUAAGUGGAAUUCCUGGUGUAGCGGUGAAAGGCGUAGAUAUUAGGAGGAACACCAGUGGCGAAGGCGGCUUACUGGACUGUAACUGACGUUGAGGCUCGAAAGCGUGGGGAGCAAACAGGAUUAGAUACCCCUGUAGUC
rnacentral:rRNA from 1 species